AGUUAAAGUACUUGAGCAUGCUCAAAAUGACGGGUGCCUUUGGGUUUUCACACUUCUGUGGCAGCCGUUGCCUUGAUUAACAAAGACGCUAAAUGCUCAACUGUGAUUGGUUGGGUGCCUUUGCAUUUCUAGACUCCUGUGAAAAUAUAAAUCAUAUUUUGAUCAGAGGUACCAUUCUUUAGAUAUUCACGAAUAAAAAACCACACCAGGACAGAUUGAAAGAAUAAAUUCCAUCUAGUGAUAAGAGAAAUUGUCUAAACUUAGCUACUCAUAACUCGCCUCAUCAAUUAAUUGAAGAGACACUCUCAUCGACACCAAAAAUAGUAAAAGACGUGAUAAACGAGAAAAUAUGAGUCGUAAUAAGAAUAUUUCAGAUGAUAUUCUGUCUCCAGAUGAAGUAUUCAGGCCCAAAGACAUUGAUCUUGAAAAUGAUGAAUUAGAUGAAACCGAGAAAGAAAUUGAGGCUUUUAAAAGGGAAGUAACCCAGCUGGUACGGGCAGAUCAAAAUGAAAGUGGGUUUAAUGGAAAGCCCGUGUCAAAAAAUCCUUAAAAACACUAAUCUUGCGAUCAGCAAAUCGAUCUGAAAAAAGUUACAGGGUCGCCAAUGUUUUGAUGGCGGAGGUCGAAAUGAUUAAUAAAAUCGAAUUUAUAGAGAAUAUUUAUUUUAAAUCAUAAGACUUAGGUGUAAAUGACCACAAGGAACCCAAAUCUGGCAGCAGUUUUUUUCUACCAUUUUUAGUUAUCGAAAAAAUCGCAAAAAACCAUAAAAUUAAACCUUUGGAUUACACCAACAACAACAAUUAUCAAACAAUAAUCGAAGAAAGUUGUUCCAAGGGACUCUCAAAGCUCUACUUUUCGGCCAUGUUUUAUUAUUGUUUCAAGUUUAAUUUUGUGCUGUUGUACACCAAACUCUAAAUGAUGAAAAGAAUACGGUUGAACCUUCAUCUUCUGAUUGAUGGCAAAACAUCCAGUUGUAGAUGAAACAAAUUGUUAUUCAGAAUCGCAUUAAAUUGGAAAACACCAAAACACAAAAUCCAAGUCUGUAGCAGCGAAAGUUGAAAACUUCUUAGAAAAGAUGUAAUGUAAAAUGUUAUGAAUGCUAUUACCUAGUGUGAUACACAAUUAUAAACAUAAGUAUUUUUCACCAAACAGCGAAAGAAAUUUUGAACACAAGAAUGGAUAAAUGGUAAACCAAUGGUCAAUUUGUGCUUCGUAUCCUAAUCAAUCGAGGAAACAAAACUAAACACUCUUAAUUAAAACCACAAUGGAUUCAAAAUUGAUCAUUUGGAUAUAGAAAAAAAACUUCAUUGAGCAAAAUAAUUUUGAUUGAGAGAUUUCAAAAGGAAUCAUGGUUUAAGGAAAAGUUGACUAUUUAAGUUUUCGGUGUUCUGUUAUUUUAGAGCAAAAAUCGAACGAGAGAAAGAAAAUUAUUUAUAUAAAUAAAUGUGUCAAAUGAUUGAAAAGUUAUCACCAUCUACAAAGCAAAUGAUUGAAACUUGUAUAAA